AGCCGAGUUGGUUAACAAAAAUGCCUUUCUUAACUUUGCUGGUAAUGGGUUACUAGGGCUUUUGGCCCUUUUGAAUUUAUUUAAAUGAUUAGUUUAACUCUUUUUCUAGAUCACUACUUUUCUUCAUCUCUUUUUUCACACUUUUCAAAAAUUAUUCCCCUGCAACUUUUUCGUGACUCCAACCUCCAAUGCCUUUACUUACUUUUUUUUUUAUCACUUUCUUUUUUUUUUAUCACUUUCUUUUUUUUUUUUUCCCUCAAAGCUCUUUCUUCGUCACUUUCUUUUACUCAAGGCUUUUUCUUCAUUACUUUCUUUUGUUGAAGGCUUUCCAGUAAGCUUCAGAACAUGCUUCGUUCCUCAUUUAUUCAUUAUUUAUUAUUAUUUUAUUUUUUGUUCUUCUUUCUCACCUCCUUUUGCUUUCUUUUUCUUGUUUUGGUUGGUUUCCUCUCUGGUGGCUUUUUGCCCUUUUUUUUGUUUCCUCUCUCGGUUCUCUUUCUUUCUUUCUUUUGCUCUUUUUUUUGUGUGUGUGUUCCUUCUCCUCAUGGCCUUUUGCCUUUUUGCUUUUGUUUUUGUUGUUUUUUUUUUUGUUUCUGCUCUCUCUCUCUCUUUUUCAUUUGGUUUUGAAUUUUAGUUUCAUAAUUGAUUAUAGCUUAUAAUCCCAAAAAGCAUCAGACAUAUUGCUUCAAUAUAUUGAUUCUUAUCGCUUCAGUAUAUAUGCAUCAGAUUUUUGUUUAUGCUCUUUGUUUCUGCUCUCUUUUUUUUUUUUUAAUUCGGUUUUGAAUUUUUCUCAAUUUGAUUUUUUUUUUACAGGAACAUGGUUGCCCCCUAGAGUAGAGAGGCUCUCAUUUCACUGAUUUGUAGAAUAUGUGGACCUUGGCCCUGAUGUCCAGUUGAGAGAGCUUGCGGAUAAUGUUGAUAUGGAUCUUGGAAUUGAUAGGGAGUCAAUUUUACUUUACCGCCAGUAAAUCGAAGUAUUAUCAUUCCCUAUUUCUCCCCUGGUUAUGGAAUUUUUUGCUCGUUGUGGAGUUUCGCCUUCGAUGAUUAACUCUUGUGUUCCAAUAUUAUUAAGAGCCUUUGCCACCACCAAUUUGGCUCUUAAGGGGUCCCAUUUCUUCUCAUUGUAUGAUUUCUUAAUAUGUUAUAGACUUAAACUUUAUAGUGGUCCUAAAGACGAAAGGGAUUCAUGGUUCACUGAGGUUUGAGGAUAAGGGUGUUUUUUAUAAAAUUCCUUCUUCGAUGAAAAAGGAUCAGUUUAGGGAGUGGUCAGUCAACUAUCCUGUAAUAGUUACUGGCUAUUGGUGUAGGAGGGAGCAUAUGGAAUCCUAUGUUCUCAGUUAUGUAUUUUGAAAAAAGCUCCGUAAGUUUGUAUUCCUUAUUUAUAAUAGUAUGUCUUUUGCUAUGUGUGGAUGCCUUUUGUUUUGUUAUUUGCGGUACUCACUUUUUUUUUUUUAGUUGUACCUAUUGUUGAUCCUCCUUUAUUGGGUGCUCGAGUGGCGUAUUUGGAGAGGAAUUUUUUGGGAAAAGAUUUUUCGUGCGCUACAGAAUUGAUUUCACGUCAAUGUUUGAGACAAGUUGGUCGAUUUAAUUAUGUUUGUCAUGUUGAUAGCUUGUGUUUGAGAGGAGGCUAUAUUGUUUUUCUCCUUGGAGUUGCCC
rnacentral:lncRNA from 1 species